CCUACGGGUGGCUGCAGUGGGGAAUCUUGGGCAAUGGGCGCAAGCCUGACCCAGCAACGCCGCGUGAGUGAUGAAGUUUUUCGGAACGUAAAGCUCUGUCCUAAGGGAAGAAGGAAGUGACGGUACCUUAGGAGGAAGCCCCGGCUAACUCCGUGCCAGCAGCCGCGGUAAUACGUAGGGGGCAAGCGUUGUCCGGAAUCACUGGGCGUAAAGGGCGCGUAGGCGGUAUAUUAAGUCAGGUGUGAAAGUUUUCGGCUCAACCGGAAAAGUGCACUUGAAACUAAUAGACUUGAGUACUGGAGAGGUAAGCGGAAUUCCUAGUGUAGCGGUGAAAUGCGUAGAUAUUAGGAGGAAUACCGGUGGCGAAGGCGGCCUUCUGGUCUUGACCUGACGCUGAUGCGCGAAAGCGCGGGGAGCAAACAGGAUUAGAUACCCUUGUA
rnacentral:rRNA from 1 species